CCCUUCCACUUCAAGCACCAUCAGGUGUGCUGUUAAAGGAAGAUGCCUCUGCCUCUGCCACCUGACUGCUGCAAACUGCUGCAAGGAUUGCAGAGGAUUUCAGUCAUGUCUAGGCAAGUGCCUGAGCUUAAGUCUGGAGAGGUCCCAGGAGAUAUUAUUUGACCUGACAUCAUCACAAGCUCCCAAGUUGUCUGAGGCCACAUGAACUGACAAUCUGUAUGGGAAGAUCAGAGUAAAGACAGAAGUCAAGGCUUGUUCUCUGUAUCUAGCUGGGUACAACAACCCUUGCACUG